ensembl:misc_RNA 7SK 7SK RNA
GAAUGUGAGGGCAAUCCGACUGCAACAUCAGUCACCGCAUUGAUGAUCAGGGUUGAUUCAGCUGAUCUGGCGAGGCGGGUGUCCUUUCCUCCCUCACCGCUCCAUGUGAGCCCCUCCCAAAGCUGCGUGCUCUGUUGAAAAGGACAAGAGGACAGCCUUCCCUGAAUAGAGACGGACCCGUCUUUGGUCCAGGGUAUACGAGUAGCUGUGCUCCCCUCCAAACAAGCUCUCAAGAAAUAGUAACUUGAAUAUUCAAAUAUUUAUUAAAGUCAUUGAAUCCAUCAUUUAAAUUUU